rnacentral:rRNA from 1 species
UGGGGGAUAUUGCACAAUGGGCGAAAGCCUGAUGCAGCGACGCCGCGUGGGGGAUGAAGGCCUUCGGGUUGUAAACUUCUUUUGCUCUGAACAAGGCAUGCUAAUGGGUGUGUUGAGUGUAGGGGUUGAUUAGCGCCGGCUAACUACGUGCCAGCAGCCGCGGUAAUACGUAGGGCGCGAGCGUUGUCCGGAAUUAUUGGGCGUAAAGGGCUUGUAGGUGGCUGGUUGCGUCUGUCGUGAAAGCUCAUGGCUUAACUGUGGGUUUGCGGUGGGUACGGGCUGGCUUGAGUGCAGUAGGGGAGGCUGGAAUUCCUGGUGUAGCGGUGGAAUGCGCAGAUAUCAGGAGGAAUACCGGUGGCGAAGACGGGUCUCUGGGCUGUUACUGACACUGAGGAGCGAAAGCAUGGGGAGCGAACAGG